UUAUCCUGCUCACUUUGGGAUGCGCUUGUGUCAUAUGCUGGGCUAGGCGGCGCCACAUUUGAUCCUGUGUCAGACAUCCACCAUCCAGGCGCCGGCAGCAAGACACUUUAGAACCCGUCCAUUCUUUGGGUUCAUGGCAGCAGCACAUCAUCUAGAACCAAAAGUUAAUGAUCCUGAGUCUUCAUCUUCAUCAUGGAUCAAAGUAAAAGACCAAAGAAGCCAUCAGGUGCCCAGUUCAGACAAAGAAGAAAAGAAGAAGAGGAGAAACGGGCAAAAGAUAAAGGGGCACUUCUGAAAUAUUUUGGAGCUAGAACACCCACUGGCUAAAAUGAGGAGUUAGGUGCUUCCACCGGAGCCACAGACAUGGCCAUGGAGUCUGAUGAGGAGCCAUCUACCUCCUCAGCCACAUGUUCCUCGCAGGAUUUCUCAGAAAUGCCUCAACCAGAAACCCCUCCAAAAAAAAAA